CUCCAGACUCCUACGGGAGGCAGCAGUGGGGGAUAUUGCACAAUGGGGGGAACCCUGAUGCAGCGACGCCGCGUGGGUGAGGAAGUACCCCGGUAUGUAAAGCCCUUUCGGCAGGGAAGAAAAUGACGGUACCUGGCGAAGAAGCCCCGGCUAACUACGUGCCAGCAGCCGCGGUAAUACGUAGGGGGCAAGCGUUAUCCGGAUUCACUGGGUGUAAAGGGAGCGUAGACGGCGACGCAAGUCUGGAGUGAAAGCCCGGGGCCCAACCCCGGGACUGCUCUGGAAACUGCGUCGCUGGAGUACGGGAGGGGCAGGCGGAAUUCCUAGUGUAGCGGUGAAAUGCGUAGAUAUUAGGAGGAACACCAGUGGCGAAGGCGGCCUGCUGGGCUUUAACUGACGCUGAGGCUCGAAAGUGUGGGUAGCAAACAGAAUUAGAUACCCCAGUA
rnacentral:rRNA from 1 species